UACGUAGGGGGCUAGCGUUGUCCGGAAUCAUUGGGCGUAAAGAGCGUGUAGGCGGUCCGGUAAGUCCGCUGUGAAAGUCGGGGGCUCAACCCUCGAAUGCCGGUGGAUACUGUCGGGCUAGAGUACGGAAGAGGCGAGUGGAAUUCCUGGUGUAGCGGUGAAAUGCGCAGAUAUCAGGAGGAACACCGAUGGCGAAGGCAGGUCUCUGGGCCGAUACUGACGCUGAGGAGCGAAAGCGUGGGGAGCGAACAGG
rnacentral:rRNA from 1 species